CGUGGCUGCUUUUUUUCCACUGAACGGCUCGUAAAAGUUGUUAUUUAUUGGACUUAAUGCUGACGCCGAAGCGGCAGCGAAGUGGUGGCCCUCGUGUGAAGCCCUCCUUGUGUGAAGACCUACUUGGGUAAAGACCAGCGAGUCUACCUGUGCGAGUCCACCGAGCAAGGACACCGACAAGGCACUACUCACCAAAGCACUUAAACCGUUCACAAGAUACAGAUGCAAGACAAAACGCAACCCACACAACCUACGGCCGCUUUGCACUUCAACACCUGCUCCACUCUCGUUCUCAGUGGGACUCUGGAACUGCCAGUCUGCUGUGAACAAAGCUGCCUUCAUUCCGGCUUUAGCCACGCAGUCCACCCUCAGCAUCCUGGCACUGACAGAGACAUGGAUACGUCCUGAGGAUACAGCAACACCUGCUGCUCUCUCUAACAACUUCUCCUUCUCCCACACCCCUCGACAUACUGGUAGGGGUGGGGGAACAGGUCAGCUGACAAGCUUUCUUGAGGAAUUGGAUGUCCUGCUGUCCUCCUUGCCAGAGGAUGGCAGGCCACUUGUGGUUCUUGGUGAUUUCAACAUACACCAGGACAAACCCCAGGCCAUUGAACUGAAUACUCUUCUGGCCUCAUUUGACUUGGAAAGACUACACACCACAGCAACUCACAGACCAGCACGGACUACACCACCCAGCCCCUGGCUGUCUGACAUCCUUCGUGAACAUCGGACUGUUCUCAGGGCAGCUGAGAGGAGAUGGCGGAAAUCUAAAGAUCCAGCUGAUCUAGCCCAACGACACCACAGUGACCGUUCGAAUCGCUGCCUGUCUGGCAGACAUCUCGGCCUGGAUGAAGGAACACCACCUUCAACUCAACCCUGCCAAGACAGAACUCCUUGUCUUUCCAGCCAACCCUGCUGUUGAACACAACAUCACCGUGCAGCUGGGUCCAACUACAGUUUCGCCU